CAUAUCAAUAAGCGGAGGAAAAGAAACCAACAGGGAUUGCCUCAGUAACGGCGAGUGAAGCGGCAAAAGCUCAAAUUUGAAACCCUCGGGAUUGUAAUUUGAAGAUUUGGAAUUGAGAAAAGCUACCCCAAGUUACUUGGAAUAGUACGUCAUAGAGGGUGACAACCCCGUCUGGCUAACCGUUUCUCAUGUAUUUCCUUAUCAAAGAGUCGAGUUGUUUGGGAAUGCAGCUCAAAGUGGGUGGUAAACUCCAUCUAAAGCUAAAUACUGGUGAGAGACCGAUAGCGAACAAGUACUGUGAAGGAAAGGUGAAAAGAACUUUGAAAAGAGAGUGAAAUAGUAUGUGAAAUUGUUGAUAGGGAAGGGAAUGAGCGGAGAGUGGUGAUAGUUUCAGCGGCCGUUCGCGGCCGUGUAUUGCUUUAGCCGAGUCAUGCUGUGUGGAAGGAGGGUUAUAAACGGGUUGCUCUUGAGCUUCUCACCUACCCCUCCCCCUCCGCAGCACGACAUAAUCCGCCCAUUCCACCCGUCUUGAAACACGGACCAAGGAGUCUAAUGGAUAUGUGAGUGUUAGGGUUUAAACCCCAGCGCGCAAUGAAAGUGAAUGAUUCGUUCAGAAUCGACCGAACUAGAUUAUUAUGACAGUUUUGAGUAAACACAUCCAUUGGGACCCGAAAGAUGGUGAACUAUGCCUGGAUAGGGUGAAGUCAGAGGAAACUCUGAUGGAGGCUCGUAGCGGUUCUGACGUGCAAAUCGAUCGUAGAAUCUGGGUAUAGGGGCGAAAGACUAAUCGAACCAUCUAGUAGCUGGUUCCUGC
rnacentral:rRNA from 1 species